GUAGGCUUCGCCAAGUGGUGAUAUGUAACACCUUGUACGAAUUUAUAAGUCAACUGUGAUUGUCGAGUCCCUGAAAGGAAACUUGUUCCUCCCAAAAAAAAAUUGUGAGGAAAUAAUUUACUUAGUUAAACUUUAUCCGUUGACAAUUGAAUUUAAUAUUAUCAUUUACCGAUUACCGAACUUAGUGAAAGUAAUCUUUCUGGGGACAUUUUCAUUCCGCUAUCCAUUUUCUUCAUUUCACGUUGGGUAAUUAAUAAUAUAUUUAUCUGUUAAGGGUGUGAUAUUGUGAAGUUAUUUAAUAUUUAUAUGUAUAUUUAUGCCUUUUAAAGUUAAUAUAAGUUGAUUUUAUUUAGCGAGUCUGUUAAUCCUACCGACGCAAAUUCUGAGUGUUACAUACAAAUCACGCAUAUACUUUCACAGGCCAAAAAAAUAUUUCGAUAUCCCCCUUGUUGUCCAAGUCUUAUCCUUACCAGAGUAACCAACCAUUCCCGGGUAACCGACCUUACAAAACCAGAGUUCCACGCUACCAAAGAAGGGUCACUAAAUAUAGCUUUAUUUCAUAUAUAUACUUGUAUAUCACAUUCUUAUAGCAACGCACUAAGGGUUACACAUUUAUAGUUAAACGUAAAAACACUAAGACCGCUCGGUUUUCGUUACAAUAUGUACAGAUUAAAUGACAAGAACAUGUAUAGUUGCUCUAAUUCAUCUGAAAGUUGUACAGCACUCGGAUAACUAAACAUACACUAGUCUGAAUUUUCGGAGCAUAAAAAUAAAUGUGGUUUCUCAACAGGUUUGUGUACAUGCCGUCUUAAAGGAAAACAACAGGGAAAAUAGCAACUUUUAACAUAUUUAAUCUUCCAUGAUACCUAACAAUGUGCAUCUUUUAGUAGAAAAGUGCAAAAGAUAAAGAAUGAGAUUGAGAAAAACAAUAGUUUAGACGUGACAUGCCAUGGUCCUCUGAAAUUGUUGUGAUUCAACAAUAAAACAAUACAAUUAAAGGUCGCAAGAAGUUUAAUUGACUACAAGACGUUUUUUGUUAUUUACUUAUGUUUGAUUCUUGUUAUUCUUUUAAGGUAUUUAGCUUUGAUGAUGUUUGUUUUCUAUAAAUCCACUUACUACUAACAUGUGCUUAAACUGUUUCAAUUUUUAAAGAUAACAAAUAAGGAGUACAACUUAAUAAAAUAAAUGCAGUUAUGAUACCUUUUAUUAACACAAAGAUAAGUAAAUCAAACAAAAUACAUCAUAAUAACAGUAUACAUUAUAAUUACAAGAUAUUGUAUAAACCAGUUAUGGUGCCACACUUAGCAGGUUUACAAUAAGAUGAAUUUCAAAACAAAAUACAGCUAUUGAUAAGAAUAAUUAGAAUGAUUAUAAUACACUUCUUAUAAUGUAUGUCAAUGGUAAAAUAAUAAGUUUUUAUGAAGCAACAGCGACAUGAAAAAAAUGUGUUUCUUCAUCAAUGUG
rnacentral:lncRNA from 1 species